UAUACGAUAUAUUAUGCACCAAAUUUUAUCGCUCGAUUACACCCUAAAUUUUGCUCUGAGAAAAAUCAUAAGGAAGAAAGAAUUUUUUUUGAUGCUGAAAAGGAUGUAGUUUUUGUUAUUCUGAUACGACUUAUAUAGAGAAGUCGAUCCAAGGUUAAACGGUAAGAAAACAGUAAUAUAAUCGUGAAGAAUCAGAGAUGCAUAUGUGUAAAAGAGUGCCCUUUUGAGAAUGUUUUACGGUUAGGCUCACGAUGGGAGUUGGUGGCAGUUUUGCGAGCUAGAAAUCAAUUCUUCUUUGGAAACAGGGCUUUUGACUUGGCCUCUGUUUCAAGAUAAGUGUUUGGAGAUGUGGUGGAGUUCACUAGAAUUCAGGAUAAACCAGGGACCAAAUCUGUAUUCACUCGGACUGCACAACUCUCGUUCAUUAAUGUCCCUUGUAUUUCAGUGGGUAGAGAAGAAUGUAUGUGAAGAGUUCCAGUGGGCUUGUAAAUAUGGAGUUACAUGGCUGCAAGGAAAUCAUUAUGAGAACUUGACUGCUCAGAAAAUGGAAUGUGUAAGUUUUGUUUGUAUACCAAGCCCAACAAUGAAUGAGUACAAAAUACACAAACCAAUGGAUUUCUUAAGAUAUGGUGUUUUGAGGAAUAACCGCUUUAACGGUCUUCUACAACUUAUGUCAAGCUGUCUCAGUCGACCAAAGCCAAUAAAUAAGGCUUCUAUACACUUGGUUCAAGAGCAGAUUAGAUCAAGAAGAUUGAGGCACAAACAAAUUAGGAAUUAGUGAGAGUUUAUGAGGGUUGCAAAAGAGUGUCUUGUGUGUUUGAUCAAGAGCUCUCAUGUGAGAUAUGAUGUAAACGAAACUUUUGAUUCCAUGUACUUCAAAUUGUUGUACUGUUCUUGCUGAUUGAUCAAUAAAGACUCAGGACAAACUAAGUGUUUUCUGCCCAAACUAAGUGUAUCACCAUUCUUGGUUUGUGUCUUGUAAUCUGUCUGUAACUCUUGGUUAAUUAAUAGAAUUAAUCCCUCUUGCAUA